GAGUUUGAUCCUGGCUCAGAUUGAACGCUGGCGGCAUGCCUUACACAUACAAGUCGAACGGCAGCAUGAUCUAGCUUGCUAGAUUGAUGGCGAGUGGCGAACGGGUGAGUAAUACAUCGGGAACGUGCCCUGUAGUGGGGGGAUAACUAGUCGAAAGAUUAGCUAAUACCGCAUACGACCUGAGGGUGAAAGUGGGGGACCGCAAGGCCUCAUGCUAUAGGAGCGGCCGAUGUCUGAUUAGCUAGUUGGUGGGGUAAAGGGUCCCGACCAAGGCGACGAUCAGUAGCUGGUCUGAGAGGACGAUCAGCCACACUGGGACUGAGACACGGCCCAGACUCCUACGGGAGGCAGCAGUGGGGAAUUUUGGACAAUGGGCGAAAGCCUGAUCCAGCAAUGCCGCGUGUGUGAGAAGGCCU
rnacentral:rRNA from 1 species